UCAAGAAUCCAAAGAAGAACGAGGAAAAGAAAAAGUAAAGGACUAAAUUGUAAGGUUUAGUCACAUUUUGUAUCAAGUACUUAUCUAGUCACUCGGGGAUCGAAGGAAAUGUCGGAGGCCGAUCACACUAUCAAAGAAAUAACUCGGUAUAACUAGACGUUUUGUUUUGGGUAUGGCAUGUAUAGAAACUUAGCUACUUUUGGUAUAAUAUGAAUAAUGAAUGAUGUGUAAA